rnacentral:rRNA from 1 species
ACGAACGCUGGCGGCGUGCUUAACACAUGCAAGUCGAACGGAAAGGCCCUGCUUUUGUGGGGUGCUCGAGUGGCGAACGGGUGAGUAACACGUGAGUAACCUGCCCUUGACUUUGGGAUAACUUCAGGAAACUGGGGCUAAUACCGGAUAGGAGCUCCUGCUGCAUAGUGGGGGUUGGAAAGUUUCGGCGGUUGGGGAUGGACUCGCGGCUUAUCAGCUUGUUGGUGGGGUAGUGGCUUACCAAGGCUUUGACGGGUAGCCGGCCUGAGAGGGUGACCGGCCACAUUGGGACUGAGAUACGGCCCAGACUCCUACGGGAGGCAGCAGUGGGGAAUAUUGCACAAUGGGCGGAAGCCUGAUGCAGCAACGCCGCGUGCGGGAUGACGGCCUUCGGGUUGUAAACCGCUUUCGCCUGUGACGAAGCGUGAGUGACGGUAAUGGGUAAAGAAGCACCGGCUAACUACGUG